rnacentral:rRNA from 1 species
UCAGAUUGAACGCUGGCGGUAUGCUUAACACAUGCAAGUCGAACGGAAACGAUGGAAGCUUGCUUCCAGGCGUCGAGUGGCGGACGGGUGAGUAACGCGUAGGAAUCUGCCUAGUAGUGGGGGAUAGCCCAGAGAAAUCUGGAUUAAUACCGCAUAAUCUCUUCGGAGUAAAGCGGGGGACCUUCGGGCCUCGCGCUAUUAGAUGAGCCUGCGUUAGAUUAGCUUGUUGGUGGGGUAAUGGCCUACCAAGGCGACGAUCUAUAGCUGGUCUGAGAGGAUGAUCAGCCACACUGGGACUGAGACACGGCCCAGACUCCUACGGGAGGCAGCAGUGGGGAAUAUUGGACAAUGGGGGCAACCCUGAUCCAGCAAUACCGCGUGUGUGAAGAAGGCCUGAGGGUUGUAAAGCACUUUCAAUUGUGAAGAAAAGUUAAAGGUUAAUAACCUUUAGCCUUGACGUAAC